CUGACAGGCCUAGAGUCUUGCCCUUAUCCACAGAAUAAGCACAGCACAGGUAGCAGCAGCACAAUCUUCCCCACACAGCUCUGUGCCAACAUGCCUCGGCCCUGAGAUGGAGGGACCAUCCCCUCUCCAGAUGACCCAGCGGCUUCCAACUGCGACUGCUUCCAGCGACGGCUGUA
rnacentral:sRNA from 1 species